AUUGAACGCUAGCGGGAUGCUUUACACAUGCAAGUCGAACGGCAGCGCGGACUUCGGUCUGGCGGCGAGUGGCGAACGGGUGAGUAAUGUAUCGGAACGUGCCCAGUAGCGGGGGAUAACUACGCGAAAGCGUAGCUAAUACCGCAUACGCCCUACGGGGGAAAGCAGGGGAUCGUAAGACCUUGCACUAUUGGAGCGGCCGAGAUCGGAUUAGCUAGUUGGUGGGGUAACGGCUCACCAAGGCGACGAUCCGUAGCUGGUUUGAGAGGACGACCAGCCACACUAGGACUGAGACACGGCCCAGACUCCUACGGGAGGCAGCAGUGGGGAAUGUUAGACAAUGGGGGCAACCCUGAUCCAGCCAUCCCGCGUGUGGGAUAAAGGCCCUCGGGUUGUAAAGCACUUUUGGCAGGAAAGAAAAGCCGCGGGCUAAUACCCCGUGGAACUGACGGUACCUGAAGAAUAAGCACCGGCUAACUACGUG
rnacentral:rRNA from 1 species